rnacentral:lncRNA from 1 species
GUUGAAUGUGAACACGAACAAGUUCUCACCCACCUCCUUGCAUUCGAUGCCUUUGAUCGGACACCACACUCGCCCCAAGGACAGCCGGAUCGCAUCGGGGUGAGACAGCUUCUCCGACAUCACUUUCCCUACCGCCUGCGCCACCAGGGUCUUCCCCCGCUCCUUCACCUGCACCCUGAUCUUGACUCCUCGUCGUUCUUUCUCCGUCAACCACAACCCCCGCAUCAUCCCAUCAACCGCCUCCAUCUCCCACCGCUCCUCACCGGUCUGACCAGAAUAAGGGUUUAUGGUGGUGUACGACCAUGCGACCCCAGGCACACAGAAGGCUGUGAGGUGGAUGGGAUCGACUCUCAAUGGGGCGUGGAUGGCAAACUCUGCGUCGAAGAUCGGAGAUCCCAACGCCGACCUAACCAGGACGAGCCCGCACUAGAACCGUGAUCGCCUCCGUGAUCUUCGGAGCAUCAUGAUCACCUCGGUGAUCUUCGGAUUCAUUUUUUGAUUCAGAAAAAAGUGGCGUGUAAUUUUUAGGGAACUAGAAGUUCAUACUCCCUCCGUCCGAUAAAACCUAUUGCCAUGCUUUUUUACGAAAACCCCCUCGAAGAAACGCAAACCGAACCUGUAGUCCCUCAUCCCCUUCGCCAG